GAAAUGUCCCUUCAUCCGGAAAUAUUUGUCAGAGGAAUAGAUGUAUCUAGUCAUAUUUUAGCUUUAGAUGCAUCCAUUUUUAUCCAUUUGUGCGACAAGUAUUUCCGGACGGAGGGAAUACAUG
rnacentral:pre_miRNA from 1 species